rnacentral:tRNA from 1 species
GGGUAGGUAGCUCAGUCGGUAGAGCAACGGACUGAAAAUCCGUGUGUCGGCGGUUCGAUCCCGCCCCUGCCCA